ensembl:lncRNA
GACGGCCGGCCGCUGGAAGUUCGGGCCCGCGGCGCACGCCCUGCCGCCCCGGGAUGCACGUGAACUUGGAGAAAGUCUCGGGGCGCGCCGGCGCAGACCUCCGCGGCUGGGCGUGGGCGCCCCUGGCCCCGCGCGCUUUCGUUUUCGUCUGGGACAAAGGUCCCUCGCGGCGCAGGUCGCGGACGUGGAGGCAGUGCCCUGCGGGCCACUCAGCGGGGAGGUCCGGUCGUUCAGUCAAGGGAAGCCGGAGCCUGGAGAAGACGAGCCGCGCGGUCGGAGGCGCGGUGCGGGACCAGGACAGUGGGGCCUGGCCGUGCGCUUCGCCCUGGCGGUCCAGGAGCUGUCUCGCCCUCCGAAGAGUUACGGGAGGUGGCACUGCUUUUGCUCUCUGCCCUUUCGACACGUGAAGGAGAGAAUCAUUCGGAACCCAGGACUCAGACCGGUGGCCGAGGGCCUGUGCAGCCGCGAGCACGACAGCGCAGCGCUGGCCGCGUCCGCGCGCGUUCCUCCGACAAGGGCAGAGCAGUCGACCAGCGCGCCCCAGUCUCGAUCGGGUUCAAGGCGACUCUUGAGGACGGUGUGGGGCUUUGAAAGUACAAUCCUGCAUGGCCUUACUGUGAAUGGAUGGGCACUUUGUCUCGGUCCGGAUGCAGGAGUCCUGCCUUUAGAGGCAGCUCAGAAGCCCUGUGGAUGGAUCGUACGAGCGCCCCGGCCCAGCCCACUUGCAGCCAGUGGUAGGAGGCUUGCCGAGCAGAGAUGUGACCGGCCGAGACUGCGGUUAUUAUCGCCAAAUGAGACUGGUAGUUGUGGUUAGAAAUGGUGUGCCCGGGACACACAGAGUAAAGCCCAAUUUUUCUCUUUCUUUUUUGGGAGUAAUAGAAUUUUCCCUUGAGAUUAAAGGAAGGAGGCUGUCCCGAGGCCUUUGGUUUCCAGCGCCGGGGCUGGGUUUUCCUGUGAAUCACCGUUCCUUGAUUCUGAGAUUUCGGAGGGUACGAAGAAGAGCAGCUAGCUGAAAGAUUUACCUGCUGAUUUGGGCUUCUUAAAUCUAGAUUCGCCUUUUAUGUGUUUAAGAGCGAUAUUUACAUUCAAAUCAGCCUUUUAUAAUUGCAUUUUAAAUUAUAAUGAAAUGAUGGAGCCGGGGCUGCGGUCUUCCCUAGGUUUUUACAGUACGAGCCACUCUGCUGGGCUGCAUGUCACAUUCCCCCCCCCUCCCCGCCCCCGGAUUCCCCACCAGGCGUAAACAGGCCUUGGCAGGGGGCUGCUGGCCUGGAGGACCCCAUGUGCCCUGAGCGCGUCAGGGUCCGUGCAUGUCACCUGCGGGGCCCUCCCCACCCUGCCAGGAGGGAAAGGGCUUGUGGCUGGGGAUUCUGGCCCCGACCCAGUGGCAAGGCUGCCAAGCCUUGCGGCAUGCGGUUCAGUCUGAGAAGGGCCUGGUUUGGGCCUGGCUGUGUCCUGGGCCCCGCGCUGACCCGCCGGCCCUAGGGUCGAGGCCACUAUCUCCUGGAUGGCCAGCAGGGCACAGCAGCGGCCGCUUCUGGUGGUGGUGACGUUGGGUGUGUCGGGGUGGGGGCCUGCCCGCCUUCUCCUGCAGCCCUAAGCCAGGUUGCACCUCCUUUCUCCCAUCGGGGUGGCGCCCAGAUGGCCCCGUGGUUUUCAGUGGCUUCCCCCAGGGAGCUCGAGGGACCCUCUCCUCCUGGGGCCAGGUUGUUGGCAGCCGUGCCAAGCCGUUCCUGGAAUGGCAUUCCCAGCGUUCCUGGUCGGGCGCGUGGCAUCGGAAUCCUACCUGCUUUGUCUCUGGCAUCAGCUGGUGAGCUAGUCACGUGGCCGUGUGCGUGAGCCCGGAGCCCGAGGACCAGAGGACUCCUCCCGGCUGCUUCCUUCUCGCUCGCUCACCCCCCCACCCUUGUGCUUUGGGCACGGCCGUCUCUGAGCAGGCAUAAAGCAGUAUUACAAUAAAACGUACUCCAGGCAGCCGGGGGAGCUCCCA